AGUACAUCAUGAGAAAUGCUGGGCUGGAAGAAGCACAAGCUGGAAUCAAGAUUGCCGGGAGAAAUAUCAACAACCUCAGAUAUGCAGAUGACACCACCCUUAUGGCAGAAAGUGAAGAGGAGCUAAAAAGCCUUUUGAUGAAAGUGAAAGAGGAGAGUGAAAAAGUUGGCUUAAAGCUCAACAUUCAGAAAACGAAGAUCAUGGCGUCUGGUCCCAUAACUUCAUGGGAAAUAGAUGGGAAACAGUAGAAACAGUGUCAGACUUUAUUUUGGGGGGCUCCAAAAUCACUGCAGAUGGUGACUGCAGCCAUGAAAUUAAAAGACACUUACUCCUUGGAAGGAAAGUUUUGACCAACCUAGAUAGUAUAUUCAAAAGCAGAGACAUUACUUUGCCAACUAAGGUCCAUCUAGUCAAGGCUAUAGUUUUUCCUGUGGUCAUGUAUGGAUGUGAGAGUUGGACUGUGAAGAAGGCUGAGCACUGAAGAAUUGAUGCUUUUGAACUGUGGUGUUGGAGAAGACUCUUGAGAGUCCCCUGGACUGCAAGGAGAUCCAACCUGUCCAUUCUAAAGGAGAUCAGUCCUGGAUGUUCUUUGGAAGGAAUGAUGCUAAAGCUGAAACUCCAGUACUUUGGCCACUCAUUGAAAAAAAACCCUGAUGCUGGGAGGGAUUGGGGGCAGGAGGAGAAGGGGAUGACCGAGGAUGAGAUGGCUGGAUGGCAUCCCUGACUCGAUGGGCAUGAGUCUGAGUGAACUCCGGGAGUUGAUGAUGGACAGGGAGGCCUGGCGUGCUGCGAUUCAUGGGGUCGCAAAGAGUCGGACACGACUGAGUGACUGAACUGAACUGAAUAAGCAUUAUUGUUUUUGCUACAAAUAUCCAUGCAUAGUUUUUUUGUAUGAGCAUAAGUCUUUAUUUCUUUGGGGAAAAAGGCUCAGGACUGCAAUUGCUGGGUCCGAAUGCUAGAAUGUUUAAUUUUUUAAGAAACUGUCAAACUGUUUUCUAGAGAGGCUAUACCAUUGCAUAUAGCCACCUGUAGUGAACGGGCGAACUGCAAUUCACACCAGCAUCUUGAGUUGUCACUAUAUGUAGUUUAGCCAUGCUAUUAGAUGUCUAGUGAUAUCUCAUCGUAUUUGUUUUUUUUUUUUAACUGAAGUAGAGUUAAUUUACAGCAUUGUGUUAGUUUCAAGUGUACAACUAAGUGAUUCAGUUAUACAGGUAUAUAUGUUAUUUUCCAGAUUCUUUUCCAUUAUACAAGAUAUUGAGUCUAGUUCCUCGUCCUAUAAUGGGAGAGUCUUAUUGUUCACCUAUUUUAUAUAUAGUAGCAGGUGUAAAUUAAUCCCAAACUCCUAAUUCUCAUUGUGAUUUUGAUUUGCAUUUCAUUCAGGACUAAUAUGGAGAAGGCAAUGGCACCCCACUCCAGUACUCCUGCCUGGAAAAUCCCAUGGACGGAGGAGCCUGGUGGGCUGCAGUCCAUGGGGUCGCAGAGGGUUGGACACGACUGAGCGACUUCACUUUCAUUUUCACUUUUCACUUUCAUGCAUUGGAGAAGGAAAUGGCAACCCACUCCAGUGUUCCUGCCUGGAGAAUCCCAGGGAUGGGGGAGCCUGGUGGGCUGCCAUCUAUGGGGCCACACAGAGUCAGACACUACUAAAGUGACUUAGCAGCAGCAGCAGCAUGACUAAUGAUGUUGAAGUCCUUUUCAUCUGCUUAUUUGCCAGCUGAAUAUCCUCUUUUGUGAAGUGCCUCUUUCAGUCUUUUGCCUGUUCUUUAAUUGGAUGGUUUUUUGCUUGUGUGUUUGUUUUGCUUUUGAGUUCUGAGAGCUGUUAACAUAGUCUAUAUACCAAUCCUUUAUCAGAUAUACCGUUUGUGAAUAUUUUUCCUCAUUCUGUAGCUUGUGUUUUUAUCCUCUUAACAGGGUCUUCUGAAGAGAAAGAGCUUUUAAUUAUAUGAAGUCUGGUAUAUCCAUUUUCAAGUAUUUAUUUUUAUUUAUUCAUUCCACCGCCCUGGGUCUUAGUUGCAGCACGUGGGAUCUUCAAUCUUUGUUGUGGUAUGUGGGAUCCUUAGUUGUAGUAUUCGAAUUAUUAGUUGAGGCAUGUGGGAUCUGGUUUGCUGACUAGGAAUCAACCUCAGUGCCCCCUGCAAUGGGAGCAUGGCAUCUUAGCCACUAGACCACCAGGGAACCUUGAUACAUCAAUUUUUCAUUUUCAGGGAUUACUCUUUUGCUAUCAAAUUUAAGAAUGCCUCAUCUACCCCUAGAUCCUGAGGAUUUUGUUCUGUGUUUUCUUUAAAUUUCUUUACAGUUUUAUGUUUUGCAAUAUGUCCAUGAUCCAUCUUGGGUCAGUUUUUUAUAAGGUUUGAGACCUUAGGUUGGGUUUCAUAAUACAGCCUAGAGAUGGUCAUUCAUAUGCUCCAGCAUCGUUUGUUGAAAUGGCUGUAUUUCCUGCAUCGUACCUUUAUCAGACAUCACUUGGGCAUAUUUGCAUGGGUCUAGUUCUGGGUAUUUUAUUCUGUUCCUUUGAUCUGUGUGUAUAUGCUUCCACAAAUACCACACAGUCUUGAUUACUGUAGCUCUAUCAUCAGCCUUACUAUCAACUAGGUUCCUUUCUCCUACUGUAUUCUUCUUUUUCAAAUUAUUUCAGCUAUUCUAGUUCCUUUCCCUUUCUGUAUAAAUUUUAGAAUAAUCUUGCCUAUAUCUAUAAAAAAAAUCUUGCUGGGAAUUUGAUAGGAAUUGUUUUAAAACAAUAUAUAAAUUGGGGAGAAUUGAUAUUAUUAUCUUCUUUUAAAAUCAUAUUUAUUUGUUUGUUUAUAUUUUGGACACACCAUGAAGCUUGUGGGAUCUUAAUUCCCCAACCAGGGCCUGAAUCCAAGCCCUUGGCAGUCAAAGUACAGAGUCCUAACCACUGUAGCUCCAGGGAAUUCUCCAUUAUUAUCUUAAGUAUUCCAAUCCAUAUGCGCAGUGUACUUCUCAUUUUUUUUCUUAGAGUUUUAAAAAUUUCUUUCAUUGGCUUUGUGAUUUUCAGCAUACAAGAUUUGUACAUGUUUUGCUAGAUUUACAUUUAAGUAUUUCAUUUUUUUAAGCUAUUGUGAAAAGUACUAUGCUUUUAAUCUCAGUGUCCAUGUGUUCAUUGCUUGUAUGUGGAAAUACAAUUGAUUGUUGUAGGUUUAUCUUGCAUCACAUGACCUUUCACUCACCACUGCCAGGAGAUAUUUUGCCUUUUUUUUUUCCCUGUGAUUUUCUACAUAGACAAUCUUAUUAUCUUCAUGGGGACAAAUUUUGAUACAUUGUAUUUCCAUUUUCAUUCGCAUCAACAUUUUUUUUAAAUUUCCUUAGAGACUUCUUUAACCCAUGGAUUAUCUACCAUUAUACUGUUUAGUUUCCAAAAGUUUCAAGCUUUUCAUAUUAUCUUUCUAUUUUUGACUGCUAGUUUGAUUCCAUUGUGGUUGGAAAACACAUUUUGUUUAAUUAUGGUUCUAUCAAAUGUUUUGAGGUCUGUUUUGUCGCCCAGGAUAUGACCUAUCUUGGUAUAUGUUCCAUUGGUACUUGGAAAGAAUGUGUAUUCUGACGUUUCUAGGUAGAGUGUUCUAUAAAUAUCUGUUCACUUCGGUUGGGUAUUGAUGUUGAGUUCUACAUCACUGCUGACUUUCUGUUUAGCUAUUAUAUCAAUUGUCAGGGUGUUGAAAUCUCCAACUAUAAUUGUGGAUUUGUCCGUUCCUUGUUUUAGUUCUAACACUUUCGGCAUCACCUGUUUUGCAGCUCUUUUGCUUGGUGUGCAUUUAUUUAGGAAGGUUCACUAGGUUUUCCUGGUGAAUUGGUCUUCCCCUUUACUUUUAAUUAUAUAAUACCCUCUUUAUCUCUAGUGAUGCUCUUUGCUCUGAAGUCUACUUCCUGUGAUAUUGCCAUAGCCACUCCUGCUUUUCUUUGACUAAUCUUUACAUGAUGUGUUUUUUCCAUCCUUCUACUUUCAAUGCUUGUAUCAUUAUAUUUGAAGUAAGUUUCUUGUAAUAGCAUGUAGUUGGGUCAUGUUUCUUAAUAAAAACUACCAAUCUCUAUCUAAGUUGUUGUAUUUAAGCCAUUAAUUAAUAAGGUAGUGAUUAAACCUGGCAUUUUAUGGUCAUUUUCUGACUCUUCUGGUUUUUUUUUUUUUCCCUAUCUUUAUGUGGGUUACCUGAAUAUUUUUUAGAAUCCCAGUUUGAUUUAUCCAUAUUUCUUUGAGUAUAUCUCUCUUUCUAGCCUUUUAAACAUUUCUCUAGGGGUUACAUUAUAUAUGAAAACGUAUCACCGUCUGCUGGUGUUGUCAUCUAACCCAUAUGAACAAAGUGGAGAACACCAACCUCAUUUUGCAUCCAUUUCACUCCCUGUUUACAUUAUUAUCUUAAAUAUUGCCUCUAUAUGCAUUAAGAACCAUAUUAAACAGUGUUAUAAUUUUUGCUUAUUCUGAAAAGCGUAAUUUAGAAAACUCAAGAGGGUAGGUCAAGCCUGUUUUUUUCAAUCCAUAGUUUUGUUUAUGAUGUUCUUUCUUCCUUAAGUGCCAAGGUCCCUAUUUUUAUCAUUUUCUCCCUUUAGUCAUUCCUUGAGGGUAGGUCUGCUGGCAACUAAGUCUCUUAGAUUUCUUUCAUCUGAGGAUAUGUCUUGAUUUCCACUUUAUUUCUGAAGGAUAUUUUUGAUAGAUAUAGCACUUGGGAUUGACAGUUCUUUUCUUUCAACACUUGAAAAACAUUGUGCCUCUUCCUUCUGUCUUCCGUGGUUUCUGGUGACAAAUAUCCUGCCUUGCAAAUUAUAUAUCCCCUACAGGUAUUGUGUCAUUUUUAUCUGGCUGCUUUCAAGACUUAAUUAUAAUGCACCGUGGAUUUCUUUGGGUCUAUCCUAUUUGGGAUUCAGUCAGCUUCUCGAAUCAGUAGGUUUACGCUCCUUGCCAAAUUUGGAGAGUUUUCAGCCACUAUUUCUUCAAGUAUUUUUAGUCCUGCUUUCUUUCUCCUUCCCUUCCAGGACUCCAAUGAUGCGAGUGUAGAAUCUUUUGUUAUGGUUCCAAAGGAUCCUUAGGCUCUGUUCAUUCAUUCUUCAAUCUGUUUUGUCUCUGCUAUUCAAAUUGGAUCAUUUCUCUUUCUUUCUUCAUUUUAUUUUGCCUGCACGAGGUCUUUGCCGAGCAUGCAGGCUUUCUCUAGUUCUCUUGUUGCGGUGGGUUCCCUUGUUGCAGUACAUGGGCUCUAGAGCACGUGGGCUCAGUAGCUGUGUGUGCAGGCUUAGUUGCCGUGCAGUAUGUGGGAUCUUAGUUUUCCAACCAGGGAUCAAACUCGCAUCACCUGUUUUGAAAGGUGGAUUCUUAACCACCAGACUACCAGGGAAGUCCUAAAUUUGGUCAUUUCUGUGUUCAAAUGUACAGUUCACUGAUUUUUUUCCCUCUAAUUCCUCUAUUCUGUGGUUAAAUCAUGGACUUGGGAUUUUUAAAACAAUUUUCAAUCAUUGCAGUUUUCCCUUCUAGAAAUUGUAUUUGAUUCUCCUUUAUCUUUUCUAAAUCUGAAAAUGUCUGUUUCUUUCUAGAGGCUCUCUUUGUCCUCAUUUGUUUCAUGUGUGUUAGUAAUUGCUUGCUGUUGCCCAGUAUGAUGAGAAGUUUCCUAUCAGACUUUUUGUGUUAUGCUGUGAAGCUCUGGAUCGCAUAUAAACUUUCUGCUCUAGCAGACUUUCUGUGAUACUGGUAAGGCAAGGGAAGAGGGGAUGCCACCUCACUGUGCCAAGUGGAGACAACUGUCCAGGUUCUCAUUAGGUUUGCAUGGCUACCUGAGACAGAGAUUCCUUGUUACUACUGGUCACACGUGGGGUUCUGGCUCCACCAACUCUUCACAGGAUUGUGGAGGGGAGGAGUGGCUCAUGCCUGCUGGGCUGGUGUGUAAGUCCCAACUCCCUACUUGGCCUUCUCUGACACCAUGCCAGUGGGGUUCUGGGCAUGUGGUUACAGCUCACAAGGAUGAGAGUCUAAACUCCCUAUUCAAUCUUUACUGCCUGGAAAUGGGUGAAGAUGAGAGUACAGUUUUCAGUAUGGAGCUUGGCUGGGAUAGAGCAGUUAUUGUCUAAACGUAUUACUUUUUGUUAGGCUGUCCCUUUCCAGGUCCUUUGGCUGGAGAAGAUUUUGUUGGGAUAUUUUCUUCUAUGCUUUUUGGCAUUUUCAGGUUAACAACUGCUUCAAUUCUAAGUCUGCUUCUGUAUGCAACAGAAAGAAAACUCAGAGAACGUACCACACUGUUAUCUCUUGGGCCCUGAGCUUCUUAGCAGUUCUGCCUCCUCCUUAGCUUUCAGAGUCUUUUUAUGUUUGUUUUACAUAUAAUUUCUAGGGCUUUUAGUUACACUCAGUGAGGGGAUUAGGGAAAAUUACACGUACCCCAAACUCUAAGAUUCAUUAGUUUUAAGGAAGUAAAAUGUUGUGGUUCCUGUCAACAUUUCUUUGUAAAUCUUAUAUAAUCUUAUGAUCUUUUCUCCUACUUAAUGUAUCUGUCAUAUUUGUUUUUAUUUUCACAUAGUGGCAUUUUUAAUGGUUUAAAAGUUUUCAUGUCAUAUCUAACACAAAAUGAAUCAAAAAUGGAUCAUAGGCUUAAAUGUAAAACAUAACUUUAUAAAACUUUUUGAAAACAACACAUUAGUCAAUGUAUUCUUAGAUAUGAUGCAAAUAGUAAUGAUCCUUAUAAAAAAUUAAUAAACUGGACUUCAUCAACAUUAACAGGUUUUGUCCUCUGAAAGACAUCUUUAGGAGGAUGAACAGCAAAUCAUACAUCUGACAAAGGAUUUCUAUAUAGACUAUAUAGUGAAAGUGAAAGUGUAAGUGUUAGUCACUGAUUUGUGUCCAACUCUUUGCAACCCCAUGGUCUGUAGCCCACCAGGCUCCUCUGUACAUGGAAUUUUCCAGGCAAGAAUAUUGGAGUGGGUAGCCAUUCCCUUCUCCAGGGGAUCUUCCCAAUCCAUGGAUCAAACCUGGGUCUCCUGCAUUGCAGGCAGAUCCUUCACCAUCUGAGCCAUAUAAAGAACUCUCAAAUUUCAACAAAUAAUGCAAUUUUUAAAAUGCGCAAAAGAUUCGAAAAAAAAUUCUUCACCAAGAAGAUAUGCCAACAUGCAAAGGUGUUAAAAAUGUUAGUAGUUGGAAAAACUCUAAUUAAACGACAGUGAAAUAUUACUAUACAAAGGUCCAUAGAGUCAAGGUUAUGGUUUUUCCAGUAGUCAUGUAUGGAUGUGAGAGUUGGACUAUAAAGAUAACUGAGUGCUGAAAAAUUGAUACUUUUGAACUGUGGUGUUUGAGAAGACUCUUGAGAGUCCCUUGGACUGCAAGGAGAUCCAACUAGUCCAUCCUAAAGGAAAUCAGCUCUGAAUAUUCAUUGGAAGGACUGAUGCUGAAGCUGAAACUCCAAUCCUUUGGGCACCUGAUGCGAAGAACUGACUCAUUGGAAUAGACCCUGAUGCUGGGAAAGAUUGAGGGUGGGAGGAGAAGGGGACAACAGAGGAUGAGAUGGUCGGAUGGCAUUAUCAACUCAAUGGACAUGAGUUUGGGUAAACUCAGGGAGUUGGUGAUGGACAGGGAGGCCUGGCGUGUUGCGGUCCAUGGGGUCGCAAAGAACUGGACAUGACUGAUGACUGAACUGAACUGAACUGAAUAAUAAAAUGAAAAUUUGACCAUGCCAUGACUGAAGAGUCAUCAAAGUUGAGUUAACCCUUGAAGAGAGGCAUUGAAACAUCCGUGAUGAUGGUUAAUACAGUCGAAGCCAGGACUGAAGACCAGACCUCAGAACCUCAGGUGAACCCUAGAGAAUACUUUUGGAGAGAUGAAUUUCUGACUCAGCUUUAAAGCAUUGAGUUCUCUCCUUUCACCACGUUGUAGGGAGCCAAAACGGAGAGUUUAGCAAAGGAUAACAUGUCCACUUUGUUGACACUGGCCAACUGAGAUUUUACUGUCUUUAGAGAAUAAAGUUUAUGAGUCGAGAUACUAAAUAAUGUACUGGAUCUCAAAGAAUAUUCCCUCCAAAUACUGUUUAAUGACAAAGGCUAAAACUUUUCAGUGAGGAAACCUGCAAGAUACCUUAACCAAAUGAUCAAAGAUAACCUUCAGCAAUGGAAUAAAAACUACAGCAUGUGCCUCCUGAUAGAGUCAACUACAAAUGGGCACUUGCCAUGGGCACUUGCCAUCUACCUCUCCAAGGAUUAAAUCACGUGCUGCUGCAGCUGCUGAUUGCAACAUUGGCUGAAAGGAGUUCAGGGUGGAGAGCAGAAAUGAGGCACUCUGUGUUUGGGGAAAAGCUGGCAGAGCACGUCUUAAGUUAUUUCAGGAGCUGAUUUAUGAGCCCAGUUCUUAUAUUUCCUCCUAUCUAGAAAAGCACUGAAAUCCUUAUGGUGAUGAUUGUUUCUCCGGACUAGCAGACAGCUUCAUGAGACCAGCAGAAACCUUCUGGGAAAAUAUGUGCUUGAUUGCGUGUACUCUCCCUUCACCAAAAUCACAUAUAUACUGACCUUCCCCCCUGCAUCUUUGGAGUGGUUUCUCAAAGCCGUCUGAGGUGCUGUCUCACAGACGUCAGUCCUCGUUCUACCCCCAAUAAAACUUAACUGGCAACUCUCACGUUGUGAUUUUUUUUUUUUUUUAAAUCAACAGCAGGGUGCUCUAGGAAGAACCCAGCAUCACUACUGUGAAAUUCUUGCCUAAAGUGCAGCAACUUAAUCUAGUCAUGAGGAAAUAGCCAACAAAUCCGAGUGGAAGGAUGAUCUGCAAAGCAACUGGGACUCUGCUCUUCAAAAAUGCCAAUGUGAGAAAGAAAGAGCCAGAAAACAUCCCAGAUCACAGGAGACCAAAGGGACAAGAUGACGGAAUUCAAGCAUUGCAUUGUUUAAGAUAAAAUCUUAAUAAGGUCUGUAGAUUAGAUAGUAG
ensembl:lncRNA